rnacentral:rRNA from 1 species
AGUGAACGCUGGCGGUAGGCCUAACACAUGCAAGUCGAACGGCAGCACAGUAAGAGCUUGCUCUUACGGGUGGCGAGUGGCGGACGGGUGAGGAAUACAUCGGAAUCUACUUUUUCGUGGGGGAUAACGUAGGGAAACUUACGCUAAUACCGCAUACGACCUACGGGUGAAAGCAGGGGAUCUUCGGACCUUGCGCGAUUGAAUGAGCUGAUGUCGGAUUAGCUAGUUGGCGGGGUAAAGGCCCACCAAGGCGACGAUCCUUAGCUGGUCUGAGAGGAUGAUCAGCCACACUGGAACUGAGACACGGUCCAGACUCCUACGGGAGGCAGCAGUGGGGAAUAUUGGACAAUGGGCGCAAGCCUGAUCCAGCCAUACCGCGUGGGUGAAGAAGGCCUUCGGGUUGUAAAGCCCUUUUGUUGGGAAAGAAAAGCAGCAGGUUAAUACCCCGCUGUUCUGACGGUACCCAAAGAAUAAGCACCGGCUAACUUCGUG